GAAGGAAGAAGAGGAGGAGGAGGAAGGAAGGAAGGAAGAGGAAGAAGAAAAGAAAAAAAAGGAGGAAGGGGUGGAGGCGCGUUGAAUUUUUCUUCGCGGGACUAGAGCAGAGCGGAUUUCCGUAAAGGAAGAGAAACACAGUCCCGGAUCCUUCCACGUCUGCCUCAUUCUCUCCAGGCCUCUUUACUUGCCCGAGCUCUCCGCCACGAGAAGACAGACGCGGAAGGAGCUUCUGGGCUGCCAACUCCUGCUUCCCGAAGUCCAGCCACCUUCAACCCUCCAUGGGGGAAAUGUCAGCACCCAGACACCUCUGUGCCCUGUCGUAUGUGACUGCACUCAGCUCAGGAUUAUCCUACGAGGAGGAAAAAGAAAAGCCGGGUGUUUGUAUCUAGUUCUACUGAUCUGUUCACAUCCGGAGAGUUUAUUUAUAACUCCCACUAGAACUCUCUCUGUUUGGAAGCACCGGUGGCUCUAUUGACAGACUGGUGUCUAGAAAAUACUGCUCUAUCUUUAACCAUACCUAAAUGUGCUGGUUGUAUUUACAGAUUAUGCUUGAAGAAAAUAUAAUUAUUUCUAUUGUAUUUGUGCAUAUACAAUA